rnacentral:rRNA from 1 species
GACCUCAAAUCGGGUGAGACUACCCGCUGAACUUAAGCAUAUCAAUAAGCGGAGGAAAAGAAACUAACAAGGAUUCCCCUAGUAACUGCGAGUGAAGCGGGAAAAGCUCAAAUUUAAAAUCUGAUGGUCUUUGGCCAUCCGAGUUGUAAUUUAGAGAAGCGUCUUCCGCGCUGGAACCAUGCACAAGUCUCCUGGAAUGGAGCGUCAUAGAGGGUGAGAAUCCCGUCUUUGGCAUGGAACCCCAGGGCUUCUGUGAUGCGCUCUCAAAGAGUCGAGUUGUUUGGGAAUGCAGCUCAAAAUGGGUGGUGAACUCCAUCUAAAGCUAAAUAUUGGCGAGAGACCGAUAGCGAACAAGUACCGUGAGGGAAAGAUGAAAAGCACUUUGGAAAGAGAGUGAAACAGUACGUGAAAUUGUUGAAAGGGAAACGCUUGAAGUCAGUCGCGUCGACCGAGACUCAGCCUUGCCUCGGCUUGGUGUACUUCUCGGCUGACGGGUCAGCAUCAAUUUCGAUCCUUGGAUAAUGGCAAGGGAAAGGUAGCACCUUUACAGGUGUGUUAUAGUCCUCUGUCGGAUGCAAGGGUCGGGA